UACGUAGGGUGCGAGCGUUAAUCGGAAUUACUGGGCGUAAAGCGUGCGUAGGCGGUUCUCCAAGUCCGUUGUGAAAGCCCCGGGCUCAACCUGGGAAUGGCAGUGGAAACUAGGGAACUUGAAUCUGGCAGAGGGGGGUGGAAUUCCACGUGUAGCAGUGAAAUGCGUAGAGAUGUGGAGGAACACCGAUGGCGAAGGCAGCCCCCUGGGCUGAGAUUGACGCUCAGGCACGAAAGCGUGGGGAGCAAACAG
rnacentral:rRNA from 1 species